GGGUCGAUGGCGUAGUUGGUUAUCGCAUCUGUCUAACAUCACUGCCGCACAGAAGGUCCUCAGUUCGAGCCUGGGUCGACUCA
rnacentral:tRNA from 1 species